UACGUAGGUGGCAAGCGUUGUCCGGAUUUAUUGGGUUUAAAGGGUCCGUAGGCGGUUUGGUAAGUCAGUGGUGAAAGCCCAUCGCUCAACGGUGGAACGGCCAUUGAUACUGCCAGACUUGAAUUAUUAGGAAGUAACUAGAAUAUGUAGUGUAGCGGUGAAAUGCUUAGAGAUUACAUGGAAUACCAAUUGCGAAGGCAGGUUACUACUAAUGGAUUGACGCUGAUGGACGAAAGCGUGGGUAGCGAACAGG
rnacentral:rRNA from 1 species